rnacentral:rRNA from 1 species
UAGUCAUAUGCUUGUCUCAAAGAUUAAGCCAUGCAUGUCUAAGUAUAAACUGCUUUAUACUGUGAAACUGCGAAUGGCUCAUUAAAUCAGUUAUAGUUUAUUUGAUGGUACCUACUACUCGGAUACCCGUAGUAAAUCUAGAGCUAAUACGUGCGUAAAUCCCGACUUCUGGAAGGGACGUAUUUAUUAGAUAAAAGGCCGACCGGGCUCUGCCCGACUCGCGGUGAAUCAUGAUAACUUCACGAAUCGCAUGGCCUUGCGCCGGCGAUGUUUCAUU